rnacentral:rRNA from 1 species
AGUGAACGCUGGCGGUAGGCCUAACACAUGCAAGUCGAACGGCAGCACAGUAAGAGCUUGCUCUUACGGGUGGCGAGUGGCGGACGGGUGAGGAAUACAUCGGAAUCUACUUUUUCGUGGGGGAUAACGUAGGGAAACUUACGCUAAUACCGCAUACGACCUACGGGUGAAAGCAGGGGAUCUUCGGACCUUGCGCGAUUGAAUGAGCCGAUGUCGGAUUAGCUAGUUGGCGGGGUAAAGGCCCACCAAGGCGACGAUCCGUAGCCGGUCUGAGAGGAUGAUCAGCCACACUGGAACUGAGACACGGUCCAGACUCCUACGGGAGGCAGCAGUGGGGAAUAUUGGACAGUGGGCGCAAGCCUGAUCCAGCCAUACCGCGUGGGUGAAGAAGGCCUUCGGGUUGUAAAGCCCUUUUGUUGGGAAAGAAAAGCAGCAGGUUAAUACCCCGCUGUUCUGACGGUACCCAAAGAAUAAGCACCGGCUAACUUCGUG